rnacentral:lncRNA from 1 species
ACUUAGUUGCUGAGCAGACUUGAAUGAGCCUGUGUGCUGUGCUCCUUGUCCUGCCGCUGGAUGCUGUGGAUUGUGCUCAGGCAAGCUCCGAAGGUGCGACAUCGUGAGCACAGGGUCACUGCCCACAUAGGGGAGGAGCAAGCGGCUGAGCAGUGGCAGGUCUCCGCCAGCCUUCCUGGUGGGGUCUCCCUGGCGCUGUGCGGGGGGGACAGAUUGGUAGGCUAUUGGAGGAUAGGCACAAGUACUACAGAAAUGCAAAUUCCUGUAGAUCUGGAAGAGGUUGGGUCCUGGCCUUGAAGCUUGGACUGAGAACCUACACUGUGUACCUUCAGCUAACUCUUAACUCUAACGGAGGUGCUCCAGACUUACUGGCCAGUCAGAGCCUUUAGGCGGACCUGCCAGUCAGAAGAGAAGGCGGGCUUUCCGGUUGCCGUGGUGCGGGUUUCACUUAGUAGCUGAGCCAGCUUGAAUGGGCCUGUGUGCUGUGCUCCUUGUCCUGCCGCUGGAUGCUGUGGAUUGUGCUCAGGCAAGCUCCGAAGUUGCGCCAUGGUGAGCACAGGGUCACUGCCAACAAUGGGGAGAAGCAGGGGUCUCAGCAGCGCGAGCUGGUGUGGUGGGGCUUUCACAGGACUGAAUGGGAAUCGGCGGCCACGUGUGAGGUCCCCUGAGGUCCUAGCCACUCGCGGGACCCAGCCGUAGCCUCUGAAUAACUUCACUGUGGGGGCUGCAUUUGGCCUGUGUGUAGAACGAUCUUUGGCAUGAUCCCAAACUCAGAGAGUCCUAGUUUCUGCAAGUUCUGUUCUUAGCAUUUGACAUUAAGGUGGACAGUCCAUUUGGAGUUAAUUUUGUGGAGGUUGUAAAAGACAUCUCAUGUGCUGGGUAGCAAUCCAAUAUCAAGCUGUGAUGUAAAAGUGCAGGAUUGAUGAUGUAAAGGAUUUACUAAAGCUUAGGAGAUAGUAAGGCACUCCAAGUAGAAUUUAUCUGAGGGUGGACUCCAUGUAAAACAUCUCACAGAUAAGUAAUGUGCUAACCAGGGCAAUUAGAGUUUAGGUUGCUAGGAUACACAUGCUUGUUCACAAGGAUUGCCCAGAAAUAUGGCUCCAAGCCAUAAUAAAGAAAACAAACUUGAUUUACAAGCAGCCACUAGGCCCAUCUCCAUAUGAAAGAGCAGGCCUCUAACCAGCUGCUCAAUGGGGCAUUACAGGAUCACAAUCUACAGUAAGGCCUAGUGUGCCAUAAAGGUUCAGUUUUCUGCUUGAAAAAAGCAUACUUAUGCCACAUGGGCGAGAUGACACUUAGUGACAACCAUGUGAAAAGGGU